AUCCUGUAUAUAAUACAUAUAAUGUACAAAAUACCUGUUAAUCAAUUGUUGAUGUUUUCGGUAAGGCUUCCUGUUAACGGUAGGCUCUUAGUGAGUAAGUCUUGGAGGAAUCAAGUCAUACACGGAUUGUGAACGGCUCAGGGGAUCAACACCCUAACCCUGCAUUGUCCUGGGGUCAACUGUGUUUUUGUUUGUUUUGAGUGUGAACCACAAAGACUUGAGACCACCUAAUUUAGCAAGACCCUCAUCAUUGUAGGGUCAUCACCAGAGCCACAGCCAUAGACGUGUGUGGCAUACAUCCCACGAGUCCUCUCAUUUCUUUCCACAGGGAGCAGACGAAUUCUGCUGUGAACACAUUCUGCAUCUGUGUGCAACCGUAAUGUGGUCUCACACCAACAUCCCAUGCAUCCCCCAUGACUGUUGUGUUCGUUCAUUCUGGCAGAGCCCACGUUUCAGCUCAACACUAGAAAGCUGGAAA
rnacentral:lncRNA from 12 species